UACGAAGGGAACUAGCGUUGUUCGGAAUCACUGGGCGUAAAGCGCGCGUAGGCGGCCAUUCAAGUCAGAGGUGAAAUCCCGGGGCUUAACCCCGGAACUGCCUUUGAAACUGUAUGGCUAGAGUCUCGGAGGGGAUAGCGGAAUUCCUAAUGUAGCGGUGAAAUGCGUAGAUAUUGGGAGGAACACCAGUGGCGAAGGCGGCUCACUGGACCGGUUCUGACGCUGAGGCGCGAAAGCGUGGGGAGCAAACGGG
rnacentral:rRNA from 1 species